CUACAUAAAAACAGUCAAUUGGAAAUAUAUUUGAAAAAAGUCAAUGUUUUAAGUAUUUUAUUGUUCACAGCGGUGCGGUUGUUGAUCCAGUUGUAGUAAGCAACUGAUCCUACCCUUAAUCCCUUAAUCCAGCCGGAGUUCUCAGGGCACAGCAGAAAAAAGUUCCUGCCCAUGAACGUGACUGGACGCAAUCCGAAUUAUUACGCAUGAUUCAGGCGAAUGAAGAGGUCAACGAACCGAAAUCUCCAGCCCAGGCUCCCGUGCAGAGCACUCCACGACCUCGUGUAAGCCCACCGAAAAAAGCGGCCCAGCCACCACCACCACCGUCACCUAAACCCGUCAACGUUUCGCCUGUACCUCCAGCCUAUAUAGACACGGGUGUUUCCGACUUCUAAAAGCUAAAUUUUAUCUGAAAUAUUAGAACGAAGUGCCUUAUAUUUUCUCUUCAUUUUUUUUUUUGCAAAAACCCACCCUCUUCUAUGCCUUCUUCUUGUUCUUGUUGUUGGCCUACUAUGUAUGAUAGGACAAACACCACACAUAUUCAUAUACAUAUAAAAGUAAUAUAAUAUAUAAAUUAUAUAUUUAUACAUGCAAUAUGCUAUAUUUAUUUACAUAUAUAUAUAUAUAUGAAAAAAUUAACAUUUAUAAAUAAGCUGAGAUAAAUUCGCUCUAAAAGAUAUAGAAUAUGAUACACUGAUAUAAAUUAUAAAUACCAUAAACCAUAUAAUAUACGUGAUAUGAUAAGGAUAUAAAUGUUAUAUGGUUAUAUUAAUAGGAUAUGGUGUGGUAUUGAUAUAAAAGUCGAUGUGUAGAUGCAUAGUAAAAUAAUACUUCGCCAUAUUGCACCAUGAAUCUUGUUAUAGAUAAUACCAUCUAUAAUAUAGCAAUAAAAUAAAAUAGGAAAAUAUGAUAACUAACGUAAAUAUGUCGUUUAUUUUUUGUAAAGAAUAGAUUUAUAUAGGGGAGCUGACUAUUAAUUCAGCGGAGGAGGGCACUCGGAAAGAUAUUUAGCAAGUUAACACCAUUAAUGUAGACGUUGACGUGGUGAUGUACGCAAAACGACGAGCUAUCGAGAAAGAAUGGACAUAAAAGACCAAGCCUAUUAUUAUUAUUAUUAGUAUCAUUAUUAUUUUUAUCAGUAAUAAUCGUAAUAAUAAUAGCUGUAAUAACAACAGCAAUAAUACUAGUGACAAGAAUAAUUUAAAAAAACUGAUAUAUAGUCAGAUCAAUAAUGCUUUAUUCGUCACUAAAACAUCUGGACAAAGGUUAGAACUAAUAAUUUUACAAAUGAUAAUAAUAAUACUAACAAUAAGGGCAACAACGACAUCAAGAAUGCAAGGUUUUUUUUCUCUUUCAAUGUUUGCUAACAUAGGUGGUGCGUGAUCGACAGCUCUAACCACUUCCGGUAUGGUUACAACAACGGCAGGUGUUAAGGUAGUUUCAGAAGCAAAAAUAAAAAAAAUAAAAAAUUGAACAACUGUUUAAUGGGAAUUAUUUCAUAUUUAUCGAAAUUCUAGCUCUUUAUAUUUUCUAACUUGAAAUAAGAGCUAUUUGCCCGAUUGUCUUCCAUAUUGAAAUUAAAUUUUCGAUAUAUACUCACGCAUAUACGCACGUAUAUAUAUAUAUAUAUAUAUAUAUAUUGGCGUUGACGACGAAAAAUAGUCAUGUGGAUGUGUUCCAAGCUAGUCUGCUAGUAUUUUGUUAUCGUUGUAAUGGCAAAAGGCACAGCAAACAUAACAGAGAGGAACUCAUAUAUAUAUAUAUAUAUAUAUAUAUAUAUAUAUAUGUAUAUAUGUAUAUAUAUAUCCAGUAGAUUAUGAAAAUAAAAACGACAAAAGAAAGCCUGAUAAAUUAUCGUUUGUGGGACAACAAAGUAUAUUAAUAAUUGAGAAAUAAUGUGAUUUUCGAUAAAAAAAAAUAACAAAAAACAUUAUUAUUGGUUUCACUGAAAUGGCAAAUAAAUAAAAUGAUCGAAAUAAAAAUAAACAAAACUAAAAGGGAAAUAAAUCCCUGAACAAAACCCACAAGAUAAAUUAAAUAUAAACAACAGAAGUUUAGCCCCCCCCCCCAAACCUAUUUGAAUGAACGGUUGAUUAAAUAUAUAUAAAACCGUUAAGUCACAAUAAAAUAUUUAUCUUCUUUUAUUACGUAAGAUUCAAAGGAAAAAAAAAGCAAACAAAAACAAUAAUUUGGUUGUGUUUCUCUUAAAUAUCUUAUAUACACAUAUGGAAUCAUAUGUCGUUUAUUUGUUGGGUUGAUUGAUUGGUUGUUUUGUUGUUGUUGUUGAUUUUUUUCUAAAAAUAAUUUAAAUUAAAAAGAACCCCUACAAAAAAAGAUUGUUGAUUUAAUUUAAAAAAUUAUUAGAAAUUUAUAUAUUUUAAUUAUUACAAAAUGAUUCAAUUAUAUUGUAUACAAAAUGAUAUGCAAUGACUAAAUAUGGCCAAGCUGGUUUCUUUUUCUUUCAAAGUUAUUAUUCUAAUCAUAUUUACAAUGGGAAACUUGGUGCAGAGAAGUCUAUGUAGAGACAUAUUUAUAUCCCGAUGAAAAUAAAAUUGGCAGAUCGUGGGGAAAAAAAAAGCACGCAAAAAAUAAAAACGAAAAAGGAAGGAAACAUGGUGGUUAUGUGGAGAGGAAUAAUUCACUGUUUCAGUGUAGAGCAGACGAAGAUAUUUUCCGGUCCAAAACAUGAACGCACACUAAAAAUAAUGAAGGAAAAAUGAAUGAAAAGAAGGAAUGAUAUAAUAUUAUAUGCUUUUAUUUUGAUUUGAUGAUAAUCUAGAAUGAUGCCCCAGUAAAAUAUCAACAACAACAACAGUAACAAUAUAAAGCAAUAAUACUAAUGAGGUACAAUCGGAUGUUUCUCUUCAAAUAUCCGCCAUGUUUGUUAUUUCAAAUAAUUUGUAUAACUUGUCACUAAAAAGAACGACCAAAACACAGAUUUAUAAAAAUUACUCAACUGUGCAUGCACCUACGUCAUUUUUAUCCAAUGGCCGAUAAAAUUAGAUAUGAUUAAAAGACCUGAUAACAGAACAAGAGAAACAGUGAAUACGAAUAACGAAAAAGCCGCACAAAUUAAAUAAAAGAAAAAAAUUGCUUUAAAGGAGAAAAUCACAAACCAUCGAGAAAAUAUCGAGGUUUAUUUUUUAACUAAUAUUGUGUGAUAUAUCCAAAGGAUUCUUUAUCCCUUUCUUUAAUCCUUCCAAGUCUUCCAAGACCUAGCUUAUUUAUUGAUCUAUUGAUUGAUUUAAUCAGAACAGUAUUGGCCUUAAUGUACGAGUAUAUACUCUGUAGGACUGUUAAUGAAAUAAUGAUAUUUCUUUACUAGUUAUCUUUUCAAGGCAUCUUAUGUUUAAUUGUGCAAGUAGCAAUCAUUAAAGUACAACUAAUUGGUACAAAAACAAUAUCAACUAAACAAUUAAAAUCUAGAUUGCUACCUGAUGCAUGUCACGUGAUAAAGACUUGUUGAAUGAACUAUCGCUGCUACCACCCGCCAUAUAUUUUUUUUCCUAUCCUUUUCUUUGUUAAAAUUGUUUAGUAAAAAACACGAAAAGAAAAUCAAAAAAGAACAAUCGAUACAGGCCUUCAUUUGUUGCUUGAUAAUGUGUUAUUCUUCCCAUCUAAACAAAUGAAACCCAACCAAGGAAAUGAAGGGAAAACGAAUUUUUUUCUUUUCCUCCAGAGAAGAAAGGGAAAUGUGUUUGUCAUAUCGGCUGAAGCAACAAUUGAAGACUUACUUUCUUUGAUAAUUUAUUAUUUUCUUCAAUUUUUUUUUUUAGAUGAUUCAGUCUGGUUUAUUACUUUUAUAGACGAGACAAAUAAAGCCCCCUUUUUUGACAACA
rnacentral:lncRNA from 1 species